rnacentral:tRNA from 1 species
AACCUUGUAUUCACUUCCGUGAUAGUAGAAUGCAAUUCUAAAGGGAUGGGAAUGCCCAUUAAGGUCU